AACCCGUGAAUUACCUUGGCAGCUGUCUACCACUGCCGAACACCCAUCCAUCUAUUGCACGCCGUCGACCGACUGAGCCGUGCCAAUAGGCGGAUGGGAGAUAAAUUGGGCGCAGUUACGUGCCAAGGAAAAUGUGUCGCCCGAGCGUCGACGGCAUAUCCUCAAAACGCAUGUUUUGCGGAGUUCCGUUGCUUGCUCCCAGUGAAUUGUAGGACUCUCGGCAAUGGAUAUCUUGGCUCUUGCAUCGAUGAAGAGCGCAGCGAAAUGCGAUACGUGGUGCGAAUUGCAGAAUCCCGUGAACCAUCGAGUUUUUGAACGCAAGUUGCGCCCGAGGCCAACUGGCCAAGGGCACGUCCGCCUGGGCGUCAAGCAUUGCAUCGCUCGGUUUGACACCCACCGCCAAUGCAAUGCGGCGGUGUUGUCGUCGAUGCGGAGAGUGGCCCGUCCUGCAUUGCGCGGCGGGUUGAAGAGCGGGAUGUCUUCUUCCCAUGGCAACGAUCGAUAGAUGGGUGGUAGGAAGCCCCUGUUGGCCCUCGACAUCGCGCGUUCGACUCGUGGAAAGAUGCACGUAUCCCAUGCUAACCCAACUCAAGUGAUGCAUGCAUGCGACACAUUGAAGUGCGACCCCAGGAUGGGCGGGGAAACCCGCUGAGUUUAAGCAUAUCAAUAA
rnacentral:rRNA from 1 species